rnacentral:rRNA from 1 species
AUGUCCCAAACCCCGCAGAAUGCUGAUAUUUCUGGUGAGUCUAUGGGUGGUUUGUCACCAACAAAGUCUGAAGAAUCGUUUGAGAGUUUCCCGACAAAGAGCAAGAUAGCCAAUGGUGAUGGCAGUCAGGACAAUGAAAGUAAACGCAAACGAAAUCCGUCAAAAUAUUGUCAAUUGCCCUACGACCUUCUCAUUACCCGCAACGAACGUGUUAAAAAAAUAAUCAAUGCAUAUUGUAAGCACCUAGAAAACUGUGGUUUUGCUGAUCGUCACAUAUCAACAACAUGGUUCUCCAAAUUUAUGUUGAAUAGGGCAAGGGGAAAUACCAAGUCAGUAAAUAAUAUAAACUCAGAGAAGCUUACAAGGAAAACAAAAGUCCUCACGAGAGUAAUGGAUGAGUAUUUCGCACGGGACAAGGUAUUGCUUUCAUAUUUAUUAGUUUUUGUAAGUCAAUAUUUUGUAAUUGCACUAACAUCAUGUUAUGUAGGCGUAUUUUCCUAUGCACGUUAA